rnacentral:rRNA from 1 species
UAUUGCACAAUGGGGGAAACCCUGAUGCAGCGACGCCGCGUGAGUGAAGAAGAAUUUUGGGAUGUAAAGCUCUAUCAGCAGGGAAGAAAAUGACGGUACCUGAUUAAGAAGCCCCGGCUAACUACGUGCCAGCAGCCGCGGUAAUACGUAGGGGGCAAGCGUUAUCCGGAUUUACUGGGUGUAAAGGGAGCGUAGACGGCAGCAUAAGUCUGGAGUGAAAUGCCGGGGCUUAACCCCGGAAAUGCUUUGGAAACUGUGCAGCUAGAGUGCAGGAGAGGCAAGCGGAAUUCCUAGUGUAGCGGUGAAAUGCGUAGAUAUUAGGAGGAACACCAGUGGCGAAGGCGGCUUACUGGACUGUAACUGACGUUGAGGCUCGAAAGCGUGGGGAGCAAACAGG